rnacentral:misc_RNA from 1 species
GGAAUAUUUUGUAGAGAAAUGUACUGAAUUAUAUGUUGUUUUUCAUUUGAGAGUUACUUAUAUAAUAUUAAAAAAACACUAAAAAAGGCAGAAAAACCUUUACAGCAGCUGCACAAUAGAAUUGUAGAACGUAUUGCAUGUAAUUUUGAAAAAAAGAAAGAUUUAUUUUUCGAAAAACCUACAGUGACAUGUAAAAAUCAUAAAAUAUCGAAAGAACUUGGAUAGGACUAUCGUACGCAUUAAAAAUAUUUGUUUAGAUCAUGAUGAAAAACCUAUUUUAAUUGGAGAAUUAUUGAUGAAUUCUGUAGCUUUUCCAAAUUAUCCUAUUGAUUCAAAGGAGUUUGAUAUUGCAGUCGGGAAUCAAUGGUCUCAACAGACAAUUAUCAAUGCAAAUAACGUUAGCAAAAAGGCUGUAUGUAUUCCAUAUAACAAAUCUUAUUGUUUUUUGCCCUUGCUACAUUCAUCUAAUUGAUUAUUAUUUUCAAUCCACAGUAUAAAAAAUA